rnacentral:tRNA from 1 species
GCGGGCGUAGCUCAAUGGCAGAGCCGCAGCCUUCCAAGCUGAAGACGAGGGUUCGAUUCCCUUCGCCCGCUCCA